ACUACACAUUAACCCCGCGUUAUUCUAUAUCCAAUACAUGAGUGUUAUGGUCAGUUGCUAGUCUAUAUAUGUUUCUGGACAAAGUAAGUGAUGUUAGGCUUGUUGCGGGCCAAGAUCGGUAGUAACUGUUUGACUUGUGUUGGAAGAGGAUGUGUCGGCCAGUGUGGUAGACUAGCGGGUGGAGACGCAUUAUCUGAAAUGGCUGUUGCAAUGUAUUGAAAUUAAAUUUUAUUAAACUCUGGAAAGUGCAGUGGCCUGUUGGACCACCUGGACAGAGGCGCGAGAGUUGGAAGUGUUUCCACCAUUACGUCAGAUACUCCUCUGCCGCAGAUUUGGAAGAUUUCAAUAUUGUGGGCAAGCUCAUUCCCUAUGACUAGCAGGUUCUUCACCUCUGUGGUACUCUGGUGGUGGAGCCAGUGCAGGUUGUAGAAGGUCCUUCCAACAUAACUUCAGGAACAGUUGCAGAACAAUCGCUGGAAGUGUUAAAUGCUACAGAAAGUAGCAGUUGUCAGAAUUAGAGGGCCAAAAAUAUUGAUGGGAAAGUCGAACUUCAGCCCUGAGUUUGAAGGUGUUAAUUGCUUGACAUUCUGAAUUAGGUGGUAUGGAAGAUUACAAUGUCAUCAAAGCAUUGACUGGCUUCAGUGUGGUUGUUCUACUCUGCAAAUCUACGAAAGUUGGUGGAUGUUGUCCUUGGUACUCUGGUUUUCCCUGGCCUUUUGAUGAUCUUUGAGUCUUCAGUGGAUUGAAUCUAGGAGAAGCAGCUUGCCACAACCUGAAAUAGACAAUAGUCAAUAUUAAUGUUGCACUGUAAACUAUUAAAUAAAUAUUGCAAUGAAA